AGUGAACGCUGGCGGUAGGCCUAACACAUGCAAGUCGAACGGCAGCACAGUAAGAGCUUGCUCUUACGGGUGGCGAGUGGCGGACGGGUGAGGAAUACAUCGGAAUCUACUUUUUCGUGGGGGAUAACGUAGGGAAACUUACGCUAAUACCGCAUACGACCUGCGGGUGAAAGCAGGGGAUCUUCGGACCUUGCGCGAUUGAAUGAGCCGAUGUCGGAUUAGCUAGUUGGCGGGGUAAAGGCCCACCAAGGCGACGAUCCGUAGCUGGUCUGAGAGGAUGAUCAGCCACGCUGGAACUGAGACACGGUCCAGACUCCUACGGGAGGCAGCAGUGGGGAAUAUUGGACAAUGGGCGCAAGCCUGAUCCAGCCAUACCGCGUGGGUGAAGAAGGCCUUCGGGUUGUAAAGCCCUUUUGUUGGGAAAGAAAAGCAGCAGGUUAAUACCCCGCUGUUCUGACGGUACCCAAAGAAUAAGCACCGGCUAACUUCGUG
rnacentral:rRNA from 1 species